rnacentral:rRNA from 1 species
AUGGCCUAUGACCGUGUGGAUUUGGGUUUCCUGGAGCGUGCUUUGUUGAAGUGGGGUUUUGCCCCCCGAUGGGUCUCUCAAGUUAUGGACUGUGUGUCAGUAAAGUUCUCGGUGAAGUUUAAUGGAAGAUUGUUGAAGCAAUUCUCACCAUCUUGCGGCUUGCGUCAAGGUGGCCCAUUAUCACCUUUUCUUGUCCUCUUUGUAGCUGACGCUUUGUCCGCCCUACAUGAUGUUGUACAAGGAAGAGGCCUAGAGGCUCUCAAAAUGUGUCGGAGGGCACUGGCUAUUUUACAUUUAUUAUUUGCGAAUGAUUCCCUUCCCUUCUUUCGGGCAACCACGGAUCAUGCGGCGAUUGUCAAGGAUGUUCUGAACACUUAUGCUUUAGCGACGGUUCAGCUCAUUAAUCCUUCGAAGUUCUCGAUCCUGUUUGCUGACAGUUUCCCUAUUCCGGUGGUUGAUGAGGUGAAACAUAUCUUAGGCGUCACACAACAGGAAUUUGAACCUAAAUAUCUGGAUCUUCUUGUUCCGGAAGGUAGAAUGCACAAAGGACAUUUUGAGUCCUUCCAGUCCAGAUUGAGUGAGAGAUUAGUUGACUGGAGCGAAAGGUAUUCCUCACAUGCUAGUGAAGAGGUGAUAACCAAGUCUGCUGCACAAGCCAUCCCAGUUUAUGUCAUGAGUAUCUUUAAACUUCCAUCCUCGGUGUGUGAUGAUUUGACAAAAAUGAUGAAACAAUAUCGAUGGGGUGUGGAGAAUGGUAGGAGGAAGAUGUCGUGGGUUGCAUGGGACAAAUUAACUCUGCCCAAGUCUAAAGGUGGUCUUGGUUUCCGUGACAUGAGAGCUUAUAAUCAGGCAUUGCUUGCCAAGCAAGCUUGGCGUCUCUUGACGACACUGGAGUCACUAUGUAGGGUACUUCGUGCCAAAUAGUAUCUUAUUAGUAACUUAAUGGACACGGUAUUUCCUAGCAAUUCUUUGGCAGUGUGGAAAGGAAUUGAGUAUGGCCUAGAGCUAGUCAAGAAAUGUAUGUUAUGGCGCGUCGGCAAUGGUGCAAUAUUCGUGUCUGGAGAGACCCAUGGAUUCCACGUGGGCCACAAUACACACCCAUCCUCCCUAAGAGGAAUUGCCCUCUCAACAGAGUUAGUGAUUUUCUGGAUGAUCAUGGUAAUCGGAAGUUGGAGUUACUACAAUGUUACUUCUGUCUGGCGGAUAUCGAUUCGAUCCCGAGGAUCAGGACGUUCCCGCGGCAACAGGAGGAGUUUUUUUAUCAUGGCCAUGGGAUAA